rnacentral:misc_RNA from 1 species
AAGUCGUAACAAGGUUUCCGUAGGUGAACCUGCGGAAGGAUCAUUAAUGAAAGAUAAUUUUUUGGGGUUUUCCCUGAAAAAUAAUUCACCAUUUGUGCAUUGUUAUUAGAUAUACUUUGGUUAGAGCUUUGAUUUCAUUUAUUGGAAUCAACUUCUUGCUGACUCUAUCCUUUUUAAAGGACAGUUGGCUAUGAAGCGGCCUACCAAGGUUUUUUUAUCAAACACAUUUAAUCCAACUGACCUAAAACAAAUAAUUAAAUCAUAACUUUCAACAACGGAUCUCUUGGCUCUC